rnacentral:lncRNA from 1 species
UUCCCAGCACCGGAGACGAGAGUGGAAACAGGAGAUAAGGGAAGGUAAUUUGGUCUGUCAGUUGCGCACACAGAAGACGUCAUGGUCAACUGCAUUAAUACUGAAUACUUUGUCCAGAGUCAUAGAGCUAAAAGAAAUUACAGCAUCUCACUGCUGUGAAUUCUGGCAUGUCUCUCGGCAGGCCUUCCCCACCUGAAUUCACAAGAGAUGCUGAGAAUGAAGGCAGGCUUCCCUCUGGGACUUCAUUUGGCGUCCACAGCUAGUCUCUUCUCUGCUCCAUCCUUCUGGACUCUUAACACGAUCCCCUUUCUCAGGACUCAGGAGGCCACCUGUGCGUACCUCUGGCUCCAGACUUUGCUGGGCCUUUUCCUGCCUCGGCUAGUUCUUUGUUAACACACAUAGGUCAAAACCAACCUCUUACAAGCGACUUCUUCAGGGUACUGUGCAACCCCCCCCCAUCCCUUGCCUCCUUUCCUUCUGUCCCUGUGUAUCACACAGGAACUCCGUGCAGUGGCAAUGAGUGUGUCCUGUGCCUGUGCCUUCCCCCUAACACCCAGGGUUUGCUUGGAUGAGAGACUCCCCGGGCCGGGCAUGGGGCCUGGCUAUGCAAAGGGGUAUGUCAAAGAAAUCUCUAGAAAUCAUUUUUGUAGAAAAUGGUCUAUCUCUGG